GGACCCGCACAAGUAGUGGAGCAUGUGGUUUAAUUCGAAGAUACGCGCAGAACCUUACCAACACUUGACAUGUUCGUCGCGACUCUAAGAGAUUAGAGUUUUCGGUUCGGCCGGACGAAACACAGGUGCUGCAUGGCUGUCGUCAGCUCGUGUCGUGAGAUGUUGGGUUAAGUCCCGCAACGAGCGCAACCCUCACUUUUAGUUGCCAUCAUUAAGUUGGGCACUCUGAAAGAACUGCCAGUGAUAAGCUGGAGGAAGGUGGGGAUGACGUCAAGUCCUCAUGGCCCUUACGUGUUGGGCUACACACGUGCUACAAUGGUAGGUACAGAGGGAAGCCACCCCCCGCGAGGGGGAGCGGA
rnacentral:rRNA from 1 species